rnacentral:rRNA from 1 species
CCUACGGGCGGCAGCAGUGGGGAAUAUUGCACAAUGGGGGAAACCCUGAUGCAGCAACGCCGCGUGAAGGAAGACGGUUUUCGGAUUGUAAACUUCUGUUCUUAGUGAAGAAUAAUGACGGUAGCUAACGAUCAAGCCACGGCUAACUAUGUGCCAGCAGCCGCGGUAAUACGUAGGUGGCAAGCGUUGUCCGGAAUUACUGGGUGCAAAGGGAGCGCAGGCGGGAAGCCAAGUCAGCUGUGAAAACUACGGGCUUAACUUGUAGACUGCAGUUGAAACUGGUUUUCUUGAGUGAAGUAGAGGUUGGCGGAAUUCCGAGUGUAGCGGUGGAAUGCGUAGAUAUUCGGAGGAACACCAGUGGCGAAGGCGACCAACUGGGCUGUAACUGACGCUGAGGCUCGAAAGUGUGGGGAGCAAACAGGAUUAGAUACCCUUGUAGUC